AUGCCCUUUGUUCCUUUUGUGGGGUUGAAUCACCAUCGUAGCACCACAAUUUUUGCUUGUGCUGUUGUUUCUCAUGAAACAACUGAAUCGUUUAAAUGGUUACUGUGUACUCUACUGGUUGCAAUGUAUCAGAAAGAACCCAAGUCCGUAAUAACUGAUGGUGAUCAUGCAAUGCGAAGAGCUAUACAGCAGGUGCUUCCUAACAGCAUACAUCGAUUGUGUACUUGGCACGUGGAGAGGAAUAUGACUCACUUUAUUCAUCAUUGUAUGAUACCUGAUUUUAGGGAGCUAAUAUAUAAAGCAACCACGCCAAGUCAGUUCGUUCGCAGAUGGAAAGAUUUUGUUGAGGCACACAAGAUUGGUGAGGGUAAGAAAAGUUACAAGUGGCUGUCAAGGAUGUACAAAAUCCGAAAACUGUGGGCAGCUAGUUAUGUCAAGAACAAAUACUUUUUGGGUGCACAGAGUAAUCAGCGCAGUGAAAGCCUAAAUUCCCAAUUGCAUACUCACUUGAACAGAAAAAUGACAUUAGCAUAUAUGGAAGAACAUUUCUUUCGCUGUGUUAAACGUAUUAGAAGAAAUGAGUAUGAAUUGGAUUGCGUAGCUUCACAAUCUUUGCCAGUUCUCAUUACAGAACAUAAACCUUUGGAAAUGGAUGCAGCGAAGUGCUUCACUCCAGCAAAUUUUCAGUUGGUUCAGAAGGAGAUUGAAAGGUCAUCAAAUUAUGAGAUUGUUGAGAUAUUGGAAAAUGAAAAUUGCAUAAAGUACAUUGUUAGUGCCAGAGAGUACACAAGUGUCCGUUUUGUCGAAUGUGAUGAUGAGGAGACACUUGCAAAUAUUAAGUGCAACUGCCUAAAAUUUGAACGUGAAGGAAUACCUUGUUGUCAUGUUAUGUUAGUUCUGAUUAAACAUGAUGCACUCAUCCCACGUAGUUGUGUGCUGACUAGAUGGACACAGAAUGCCAAGUCAAGUAUCCUUUCAGAUGAAAAGAAAAAUGAAUCAAGUCAGCAAGAACGUUUUGCCGAAUUGGUUAAUUUGUCUAAACCGGUUUUUUAG
rnacentral:rRNA from 1 species